rnacentral:lncRNA from 1 species
CGACAUUCUCCAGUGUCAUGAUUGAUAAUUAAGAUACAUUCCUUUAGGUAAGGCUUCUUCGAGCCCUUGAACACUGUCACUGGUGGAGUCGAGCCCUCAAUAUUCGGCAGUGUUAUCGUCACCUGUUCACCUUUGCCAACUUCAAGGUCUCCUUCACAAGCGGUAUCAAUAGAUGCAGGCUUAAAGUCAUAGCGCACGGUGUGGAAGGCGCAGCGCGGCUGCUUCUCGAAGGUCUCGCCCAGCUGCAGCACCCGCUCCUUGGGCUCGAAGAGCGGCGGGGCCAUCCCGUUCAUGGCGGCGCGCACCGCACACCUCACACCAUGGCCCGCCCGGGCGGCCCCCGCCGCUACCGCCGCCACCGCACAUCCCUCA